GUCGACAUCGUGAAAAAUGAAACAGUCGAAAGGUCGUUCCUUCAAGGCUUCCACGUAUCCUACGUUCAUGAGCAUCGCGCGAUUGAAAGCGUCGCUACCUGAAAAACAAACAGAGUUACUCGAUCGAUCGUUGGUAAAGGGAGCCUCGAGGAGACUCGAGAAACUGGCAGAAAAAGUAGGCCGUAAGCUCUAUCUUCAAGCCUACACUCGUUUCACUAUUCUUUCAACAAUUUGCAGAUGCACGCAGGCAAGCAAAAUCAUUGAUACACACAUACUCAAUCUUUUGUACGUAUAUAUUUGUUUUAUCGAUACCUCGACAUCUUUACCCAAAUUUUAAGACAUAGGAGUUUUAAUCUAUAGGUCAUGAUUUUCAAGGAUGUUGAUUUCGUUUGGAAUCGAGGAUUUUUCUAAUAAAAGGAUUUAUUUUAGUAAAUUAAUAAUUAGUUUAAGAAUGUUUUUUUUUUAAAUUUUGUUUUAAUAUAUAAGUAUUAAAAUAAAGGCAGUAUUUUUUUUGUUCGGCAUCUUUUUUGUAUAUCAGAUAUUUAUUUGAUAUUUAGUUGUUUGGAAGAUUUUUGAAAAAGUUAUAUAUUGUAGCAAAAUAUAUUAUCAAAUAAUAUAUAUAUAAUAUUUUGUAAGUUGAAAAGAAUUAAAUGAAGCUAAUAAUCGCUGCCUGGAAUAAAAAAUGAAGAAAAAAUUUAUUGUAACAAUAAUUUUAAAGAAAAAAAAAAUUAAAUGAUGAAUAUACCAGAAGUAAUUAAUAGACAGAAAAAUAAGAAUAAUGAGAAAGAAAAAAUUUGCAGUUGUAUUAUCAAAAAAAUUAUUAUUAUAUUGUAAACUUUAAUAAUCUAUACGAAUUUUAUUAAAAUUUUAAUUUUAUUUGUAAA